AUUUAAAAAGCAUUAAAAUUCAAAACGAAAAAUAUUGUUGUCGUGAAAAUGUCAAAUGUAAACAUGUGUCUGUUAAACUCCACAAGCGUCCAGCCGGAACGCACCGGAGUCUUGGUGAAAACGUUAUCAGUAAUCCAUUAAUGAUUAUCAAGGAAUAUUAUAAAAUUAUUUACAACCAGCUUGAAAAAGUAAUGUAUGAGUCUGUCUCUCUCGCACAUGUGUUGGUUUCAAUAAAUGUCACUAAUGCGCGGUCUACAUAUUAUUAUAGGUCUAUGGUUAUCGGGCAUCAGCCCGGUUUCACGACUGUUUCGUCAAAUACAAAUUUUAUGUCUGUGGUUUCGUCGUCGAAAAUACAAUCCAUCGCUGUUUUUUUAUUGUUUUUACAAACUGGCCACAAUCGUGUAACUACGAAACGAAAAACAGCAUAAUAUUAUACUAAUUGAUUUUGAAUUGAGGCUCAGUACACCGCUGACAGUCAAAAGCUUAACAUAUCUACUUUAUAUUAAUUCGUUCGGACGCCCUUCAAACGGUUGAACGAUAAAAUCAUGAGUUUAAAAUUUUAUCAGUAUUUUGAACAUUCAAAACCUUGUACGUCAAAAUCUUGCACAUAAAAAUUGUUUCCGUCAAAACUUUGAACGUGAAAAUGUUGAACAUAAAAAUUGUUUUCAUCAAAAUCUUUAUGGUUGCUAUUAUUUUCAAUACAUCAAUAUAAUAAGUAAUAUUAUCGUUUUGGUAACGGCGUCUGCAACGCAGUCUUUAUUCGGAAAAUGAUAAAAGGGCCAAAAAUUAUUGGCCCCCUAGUAGAAAUAUUCUGGCUACAUGUCUGAGACCACGACAGAUUACAGACUAAUCGGAAGAAAUAUGGUUGCGGGAUUGAUUAAAGCUAGUAUUGUUAAACAAGUAUUAUCAAUAGAAUAUAUUAUGAUGUAUAAUAUGCACUACAGCGCUUCUCCUAUCGCUGCUAUAUGAAGCGCACCUACUCACGAUGCACGAAUGAUGCGAAUGAAAGAACAUCAAGAAUAAUGAAUGAGAUAUACAUGGGCAUAGAUAAGAAUUAUUUUCGGAAUAGGUUUUGGUCAGAUAUACAUUAAAUUUAAUCCACAAUAUUUUUGAACACCCAAAACACCCUCCUUACAAUACGCCCAUGAGAUAUUCGGUUAUUUACAAUAAUAAUAUGGAUCAUUGAGAAUAUAGAUUUAUUCUUAAGCAAAAGCUCUGCACUCGCGUGUAUUAUGUAUGUAAUGUAUUAAUAUAAUAUAUUAUAUUAAGAGCCAAAGUCGAUUUCGCAAAGUCUAGGCCGUCACGAGUAGUUUUAAUAUUUUGAUUAAUUAUUAUUAACUUUUGACUUGACGAGUUAAUUUUGUUCUGCCAAAUUAUAUUGUGUGUGACUACGCGACGUGCCGAGUUAUUUGGCAACCAAUACAAUAUGUAGUAUUAUUAUUUUUAUUAUUUUUGCAAGUAUACCUACGCUCAGACAAAUUG